GACGAACGCUGGCGGCGUGCUUAACACAUGCCAGUCGUACGGUAAGGCCCUUUCGGGGGUACACGAGUGGCGAACGGGUGAGUAACACGUGAGUAACCUGCCCACAACUUUGGGAUAACGCUAGGAAACUGGUGCUAAUACUGGAUAUGUGCUCCUGCUGCAUGGUGGGGGUUGGAAAGCUCCGGCGGUUGUGGAUGGACUCGCGGCCUAUCAGCUUGUUGGUGGGGUAGUGGCCUACCAAGGCGGCGACGGGUAGCCGGCCUGAGAGGGUGACCGGCCACAUUGGGACUGAGAUACGGCCCAGACUCCUACGGGAGGCAGCAGUGGGGAAUAUUGCACAAUGGGCGCAAGCCUGAUGCAGCAACGCCGCGUGCGGGAUGACGGCCUUCGGGUUGUAAACCGCUUUCAGCAGGGACGAAGCUUUUUGUGACGGUACCUGCAGAAGAAGCACCGGCCAACUACGUG
rnacentral:rRNA from 1 species